GGGGAUGUCCUAUAAUCGACGCAAGAAAAUUGCGAUAAAAAAAGCCUUUCGUACACACUUUAGAGGCGCGUUAGUUCUCUAAAAAAACAUAAAUGGCAAACUAAUUGCUAAAGUAAGGCAAAUGCUUAGCAUUCCAGCCUUCCAAUUUGCUACAGCUUAACAAAGCAAUAGCCGUCAAAUUUUUGAAUCCUGCUAAAAAAUUUGAUGCUUUAUCAGCGGGAAAACGACCAAUCUAUCGCCCGAGUAGAAUGGUCGUAACAAAUCGGGCUGUGAUUAAGAGAUUUGUUCAAUUUCCGCUCUUAAUCAAGAAAUCAAUUGAACUAUAAAGGUAGAAAUUUUUAUCUCAAUUCCUGCGAACGCGGGGGAAGUGCCCGCCAUCUCCACCA
rnacentral:tmRNA from 1 species